rnacentral:rRNA from 1 species
GACGUAGGGCGCGAGCGUUGUCCGGAUUUAUUGGGCGUAAAGAGCUCGUAGGCGGCUUGUCGCGUCGUCCGUGAAAACCUGCAGCUCAACUGCAGGCUUGCGGUCGAUACGGGCAGGCUAGAGUUCGGUAGGGGAGACUGGAAUUCCGGGUGUAGUGGUGAAAUGCGUAGAGAUCCGGAGGAACACCAGUGGCGAAGGCGACACGCUGGGCCGUACCUGACACUGAUGCGCGACAGCGUGGGGAGCAAACAGG